AGCGCACUGUGUUGUUCCAAACCUUUGCCUUUGGGACUCCAAAACGAAGAAAGAGAGAGAAUGGCCUCGAAACCCGGUUUAGCUCCGACCACGUACUCUCCUGCUCCGACCCGUAAAUCCCGGCCACCCAUUUUCAAAGACUCCGAUGUCGAUUGGGUCCGUCCCGAUGGCCGCGGCUUCCACCAGUGUCGACCCGCCUUUUUCAGGACUGGUGCUGUCAAUGCUGCUGCAGGAUCAGCUUAUGCCGAGUUUGGAAAUACAAAGGUCAUUGUGUCUGUAUUUGGGCCCAGAGAAAGUAAGAAAGCAAUGAUGUAUAGUGAUGUAGGCCGGCUGAAUUGCAAUGUGAGCUAUACAACUUUUGCCACCCCAGUCCGUGGACAGGGAUCAGACCAUAAAGAAUUUUCCUCAAUGCUUCAUAAAGCUUUGGAAGGUGCAAUAAUGUUGGAAACUUUUCCCAAGACAACUGUAGAUGUUUUUGCAUUGGUGUUGGAAUCUGGUGGCAGUGAUAUUCCCGUUGUAAUAUCUUGUGCAAGCCUUGCCUUGGCUGAUGCAGGGAUUAUGAUGUAUGACCUCGUUGCUGGAGUUUCAGUGUCUUGUCUUGGUACAAACCUUGUCAUUGAUCCAAUUUUGGAAGAGGAAAGCUGUCAGGAUGGAAACCUAAUGAUUACCUGUAUGCCUUCUCGUUAUGAGGUCACUCAGCUGACUGUUACAGGAGAAUGGUCUGCUGCAAAGAUGAAUGAGGCAAUGCAGCUUUGCCUUGAUGCUUGCUCAAAGCUUGUGACAAUAAUGAGGUCAUGUUUGAAAGAGGCUGCUUCUGCCACACAAGAUUAGAAAGAAGCUAUGAAUAGUAAUUUUGCCGAUUGAUACAAGUCACAUUUUUGAGCCAUUUGCCAUUCCUGGUUUCUUCCCUCUCCCUUUGUCAUCCUUUAAGGAUGAGUAAGUAAUUACAAAGUUUUGUGAGAUUGAUUGGUAUUUGCUCAAGUUUUUCCCAUUUGCUAAAAUUUCCCUGCAUUCCUCCGUGCUACCUGUGUAUUUUUCCAGCCG
rnacentral:misc_RNA from 1 species